CGUACACUCCUGCGGGAGGCAGCAGUGGGGAAUAUUGGACAAUGGGCGCAAGCCUGAUCCAGCCAUGCCGCGUGAGUGAUGAAGGCCCUAGGGUUGUAAAGCUCUUUCACCGGUGAAGAUAAUGACGGUAACCGGAGAAGAAGCCCCGGCUAACUUCGUGCCAGCAGCCGCGGUAAUACGAAGGGGGCUAGCGUUGUUCGGAUUUACUGGGCGUAAAGCGCACGUAGGCGGACUAUUAAGUCAGGGGUGAAAUCCCGGGGCUCAACCCCGGAACUGCCUUUGAUACUGGUAGUCUUGAGUUCGAGAGAGGUGAGUGGAAUUCCGAGUGUAGAGGUGAAAUUCGUAGAUAUUCGGAGGAACACCAGUGGCGAAGGCGGCUCACUGGCUCGAUACUGACGCUGAGGUGCGAAAGCGUGGGGAGCAAACAGGAUUAGAAACCCCAGUAGUCCCAUGAU
rnacentral:rRNA from 1 species